rnacentral:lncRNA from 1 species
AGAGUGAAGUUUGAGAGAGAGAGGGUUGAACGCGAGGGAGAGGGUUGAACGCGAGAUUAAGUGAGCGAUUGAGUGAGAUUGGAGAUUGAGAGAGCGAUGAGGGAGCGAUUUCAUUGAGAGCGUCGAGAGAUUGAGAGAAGAGAGAUUGAGAGCGGGUACGCGUUUGGGAGAGAACGAGGACGAUGGACUGUUUUUGGUUUCCAUUUCUUUUUUUUCUUUUUUUAAUUUAUUUUUAAACAGAGAUAAGCAUUGAAACCAUAAAAAAUUUUAUAUUUUUAAACUUCCUAAGUUUUCAUUUUUAACUUCCCAAGUUUAAUAAAUAUUUUUUUCAUUUUCAAUUCAUAUGCUUUUGAGAAACCCAACAGCCGGGUUUUUUUUGUUGGUAAACCAACAGACCUUCAUUAUUGUUAUUUUAGUUCCUUUUUUGUUUUUAUUCCGAUCUAGUCUGGUUUAUAUGUUUAAGCUGUUAUCUAGUUGACAAUUAAUGAUAAAUGGUCUAGUGGAGAGGGGGUGGUUUCUAUGGUCUUUAGUGUAGUGGGUUCAAUACUCAUAUUGUGCAUUUUAUUUCUUUUAGCAUUUUAUUUUCUUUUAGCAUUUUAUUUUAUGUUUAUGUUUUUACUAUACUCAUGGUUGAUCUGCUUUCUUUUAAUUUCAUCAUUCAUUCAAAA